rnacentral:lncRNA from 1 species
UUUUCUCCAGCCCAACCGAGUGAAGAAUUUGCUUUUUUCAAUUUGGGAACAGUGGGUAUUUUCAAGUCACCAAUUUGUGUGAACCCAGAUUUACCACCACAUACUAUUAAAAUUCUGCCAAUUUUGUCAUAAGACCCCUUGGCUUCUCACAUCUCCUUUCUCUCAUUAUCUCUGCGCUGGCCCAAUUUGAGUUUCUCCUGCACAGGUCCUAGGACAUAUUCGAAGGUAAGAAAGUAUCAUUCAUUCUGGUAAAUUCUAUGGGUCGUUCUCAAAACUUUACUUAAAGCAUCCCACAUUUAUAGCUUCUCUAGUCAUUGAGCAGUUUUCUUUUUUUUUGUAAAUAAAAUCCUACUUUUUGUCAACAAACUUUUUUCUCUUUCUUCUUUCUUUUUCUUUCUCUUUCUCUCCUCCCUCCCUUUCCUUCCUUCCUUCCAUCUUUCUUUCAAGGAGAGUGGUUCUGAAAGAGCAGUCCAUAGAAUCCUGGUGGUCCCCAGGACAUAUUCAGAGGGUCUACAUGAGCAAAACCAUCUUCAUAAUAACUAGGAUGUUAUUUGCCUUUUAUAUGGUUUUGGCAUUGCAAUGAUGGUACAAAAGCAGUGGUAGGUAAAACUUCUAGCAUCUUAAUAAGGCAAUGGCACCAAACUGAAGAGUGGUCACUCUAGUAUUUCUAGUUUAAAAAAAAAAAAAGCCAGAUUCACUUCAAAAAUUGUCUUUAAUUAAGCAAUGCAAUUUAUUAAUUUUAUUAAACCUUGGCUCUUGAGUAAACAUCUUUUUAGUAUCUCAUGUGACAAAAUGGGAGAUAUAAAUAUGAAGGCUGUUAUGAGGUUGAGUUGUGAGCUGGCUUACUGGCUUUUUCAUAGAAUACCAUUUUUCCUUAAAAGGCUACUGAUGCACAAACUGUGAUUGUUCAGACUUGUGUAUUUGACAGACAUUUCCUUUAAGAUGUCAAUUCAAGAAGACAAACUACCGUGUUUGUUGCCAAGGAUAAAACUGGAAAGUUCAGGUAAAAAUUUAUAUUUUUGAAAACUUUACCCUGAGUUUGAACACUUCUUGUUUCUUAACGAUUUUUCUGAUGAGCUCACUGGUGAUACAAAGGCAACUUUUUGAUGCUGUGUGGACGUUUGGAAGAUCAGUAUAACUCAGUAAACCAAUAUUUUCUUAAAAAGUAUCAAUAUAUAAUAUCACAGAAUUACACGUGGUAAGAGAAUCAUUCGGUGUGCAAGACAGACCAAUUGGUUUUAAUGUAAUAGAGUAAAAAUAUUUACUUAGACAAUUUAAGUUUCCAAAUUAUAACUAAACUUUAAAACCUUCUACUUAUUGAGUCUUGGUUUAGUUUCAAAAAAAAAAAAUUCACAAACUGAAAAGAGCUAUAAAAAUACUUCUCCUUUUUUCAAGUACAUAUCUAUAUGAAGUCAGAUAUUUUUCAUAUACUUCAGCAAGAGUAACAUUUCAACGUAUUGAAUACAGACACUUACAUGAAAAUUCAGCUGCUUUGCUUAAGCCAAACAUUAAAAAUACUUGUGAAAAUGCAAAACAUUGCCAUUCUUUUCACAAUUCUUUUCCUUGGGAAAUGUGAUUAUUUUUUAUAAAAAGGUAUCAUUUUCUUUGAAAAGUAAUGGAUUUAUCAUCACUCGUUUUAAAAUAAAUAAGUAUUUUUGAAUUUUAAAAAAAUGUCUAAUAUAUGAAAAAGUGACAAAGACAACUCCUAUAAGUAAAAGUCUUUGGGGCCUAGAUAAGAUUUAGGCAUGUAAGGGUAUUCUGAAACCAAAAUUUUAACAACACAGUUUUGGGGAAAGGAAAGUGUUAGUGGCACUUUGUCACACAACCCUUAAGAGUAGAGAGUGGUCAGAUUUCUUACAAGUUGACUAUGAUUUUAUGGAUUGAGCCUCAAUAUACUCUGAAGAGAAAUAGCAGAGAAGAAUGAUUGAACAGCAUAGAGAUCUUGAAGAUUUUAAAAAAUGUAUUGUUUUUAGUCUUACAUAUUGCAAUUUUGGAAGGAAAGAAUCUAGUGUUACUGAUAAAAAGAUUUCUUCCAAAGUGUAUACAAAUUUGAAUCCCAUUUACAGUCUACUAACUCCCAUUUAGAGUUAACUAGUAUGGGUGUUACAGUAUUUUUUCCUACUCCUGAACAUAGGACCCAGCAUCCAGUACCUCUCUGUUGAGUAUUUAUGACAGUGUGUUUGUUUUACCUUGACUUUUGUUUUACUUUUUAAUGCAGAAUAUUAGUUACUUUAUAAUUAAGCAUUAAUUAAAGUAACUGGUACGUUUGAUAAAUGUCUGUGCUCAUCACCUUCACUGUCACUUAGGGUUCAAAUUUCUUCUUUUUUAUUGAAGUGUAAUUGACAUAUAGCACUAUACUAGUUUCAGGUGUACAACAUAGUGAUUCAAUAUUUGUGUAUAUUACAAAACGAUAACCAAAA